rnacentral:tRNA from 1 species
GGGACUUAGGUUAAACUAAAACCGAGGGCCUUCAAAGCCCUAAACAAGGGUGAAAAUCUCUUAGUCUCUA